UUUUUUUAACCGUCAACACUUAUUACUUUAAUCACUGUCCCCCCUCUUCAGGUGCUUUCAAACAUCAAACUCACCCUGAAGGAUAAUUCAGAACGGGACAGUAACUCAUAGAAUUGUCUGGUUUUGGGGUUUUUUUUGGGGGGGGUUCUUUUUUUAGGGUUGCACCUGUGGUAUAUGGAAGUUCCCAAGCUAGGGGUCGAAUAGGAGCUGCCACUGCCGGCCUAUAUACCACAGACACAGCAACGCAACAUCCGAGCCGUGGCUGUGACCUACGCCACAGCUCACGGCAAUGCCAGAUCCUUAACCACUAUGUGAGGCCAGCGAUCAAACCCAAACUAGUAUCCCAAACUAGUAUCAAACCCAAACUAGUAUCCAGCGAUCAAACCCAAACUAGUAUCCUCAUGGAUACUAGUUGGAUCUGCCACCAUUGAGCCACGGUGGGAACUCCAUAGAAUUGCAAAGCCUUCGUUAGAAGGUGCAAAUUACCCCAUGGAGAGCUCUAAAAAUGUUCUGAGCAAGAGCAGUGCUCUGGGGAUGUCUGAGCUCCUCCUCCGCCUCUGCUGGGGGCCACACUCACUGAGGGCUCUGGGGUCCAGGGCGAUUUAAGUCACGUCGCUUCAUAAACAUGCUGUGCCAACAGAGACCUGCAUUCCAGUUACUGAUCUCAAAUCUGAAGCUGGAAGGAUCAAAAGGGCCAGAGCAGAGCAGGGCUCAGCAAGGCUGCCAGAACCUCAGGACCAUAGAUCCCCAGAGACCAUGGGCCCUGAAACCUCAACUCCUAAGUAGCUGAUCCAGGCAGCUCUCAAAAGACCUCCUCAAACAAUGAAGGAUGGAGAUGAUGACAUCAGGGCACAAACAAAGGGAAACGCCUACAGAGCAAGAACCUGAACAAGUUGAGGAGGCAAAAAUAGCGGUGGUGGGAAAGGAUGGAGGGGCCCAAUGGUGGAAGACCAGGAGGUGAGCUGGUACAAAGAAGCAGAGCGUGGAGUUUUGCUAAAGGAUCCACAGCAUGCUUCCGUGGACUUCCUGCUUUGCCAAAACCUAACUGAGCGAGCACAUGCCACAAAUUCCCAGCUCCCGAACAACUGUCUCCUUGUUUCUACUUCACCCAGAUUGAGAAUGUUAUUUAGGACUGAAACUAAUACAGAAGCAGGGAAUACCUUUAUGGGGAGAGAAGAUCAAAAGAGAUAAGGAAUAUUAAAACAGGCCCCUAGUAAGAGUGUUCCUGGGAGUUCUCUGGUGGCUUAGUGGAUUAAGGAUCUGGCAUUGUCACUGCUGAGGCUCAAGUUUGAUCCCCUGACUUGGGAAACUCUGUAUGCUGAAGAUGGGUGUGUGUGUGGGGAGGGGAAGGAAUACUCCUGGAUGGAGUGCUGGCUGCAGGCAGGGACCUCUAGAGUCUCAAUCCCUGUCUGUAGCCUGUGGACACAGUCAGUGUCUGAUGUGUAAAGGUGCCUAAAGAAGCUUCUACCAGCAGAGGUGGCCUGACUCAUUAUAGUCCAACAGAACCCUCUGGAGGGAUGGAAACCUCCAUCUGAGCUGACCCACAGGGCAGCCACGAGCCGCAUGUGGUGCUUGAGGUGGAACUGCAUUGCUAAUUUUGGUGAAUUUGAGUUAAAAUGUGAAUAGCCAUAUGUGGCUAGUGGCUACUGUACUGGACAACUAAGGAACCUUCCCACAGUGGCCUGGCCCCAUCUGCCCACUGCCUCAGGGAUGUUUCCAUCCCAGGCCCCAGCUCACAGAAGGAGAGACCACACUGGGAGCCCCAGCACGGGCGGGAGAGGGGCAGGGCCUGUGGGUGGAGCCAGUAUAGCAGGACCACCCUCGGUGGGGAGGAAAUGAGGACUGUGGGGUCCAUGAUCACAGAGGAUCCAUGCUAUGCACGCCACCAGCACCCCAGGAACAGGGCUCCUGGCUGUGAUAAAAAUUCACAUUCUACAUGAGACACAGAGCUGCACAUCCCUUUACCCUGAGGGGCCAUGGGGACAGGGGCCAUGAAGUUUCGGCAGCGCCAGAGCACACUAAUGGACAAUACGCAGCAGGGGCUCCCAAGUUCAUGGCAUUCUAGGUCCUUUGUGCAACCUGGAGGGGAGGAGCAGGUGGUGCCCAGGGAAUAACUAAGUCUGAGCUUCCCUCCAGCCUUGUAUAAGGGAGUUUAUAUGAUUUAUAAUAUGUAAACUUUUUUUUUUUUUUUGGUCUCUUUUUUCUUUUUUUUUAGAGCCACACCCGCAGCAUGUGGAGGUUCCUAGGCUAGGGGUCUGAUCAGAACUGUAGUG
rnacentral:lncRNA from 1 species